rnacentral:hammerhead_ribozyme from 1 species
AUUCAGCUGACGAGUCUCAAACAGGACGAAACGCGCAUCCUGGGU